rnacentral:piRNA from 1 species
UGUGAUGUAUCUCCCUGGAUGGUCAUUUC